rnacentral:rRNA from 1 species
GACGAACGCUGGCGGCGCGCUUAACACAUGCAAGUCGAGCGAAGCGGCGGACGGGUGAGUCACACGUGAGUAACCUGCCUUCGACAUUGGGAUAGCCUCGGGAACCCGGGAUUAAUACCAAAUGGUCUAAGAUGGACUCGCGUCCCCUUAGCGAGUUGGUGAGGUAACGGCCCACCCAGGCGACGAGGGGUAGCCGGCCUGAGAGGGUGAACGGCUAAAUUUGAACUGAGAAACGGUCCAAACUCUACGGGAGGCAGCAGUGGGGAAUAUGGCACAAUGGAGGGAACGCUGAUGCAGCGACGCCGCGUGAACGAAGAAGGCUUUCGAGUCGUAAAGUUCUUUUAUAUGGGAAGCGGUACCAUAAGAAAAAGCCCCGGCUAACUACGUGCCAGCAGCCGCGGUAAUAC